UACGGAGGGUGCGAGCGUUGUCCGGAAUCACUGGGCGUAAAGGGCGCGUAGGCGGCCUGAUAAGUAGGGGGUGAAAUCCUGCGGCUUAACCGCAGGGCUGCCUUCUAAACUGUCAGGCUAGAGCACGGUAGAGGCAGAUGGAAUUCCCGGUGUAGCGGUGAAAUGCGCAGAUAUCAGGAGGAACACCAAUUGCGAAGGCAGCUCGCUGGGACGUUACUGACGCUGAGACGCGAAAGCGUGGGGAGCAAACAGG
rnacentral:rRNA from 1 species